rnacentral:rRNA from 1 species
CCCCUAGAUGUUCUGGGCCGCACGCGCGCUACACUGAACAGUUCAACAAGUCUUAACCUUGGCCGAUAGGUCUGGGUAAUCUUUGAACGCUGUUCGUGAUUGGGAUAGACCUUUGCAAUUAUGGGUCUUCAACGAGGAAUUCCUAGUAAACGCAAGUCAUCAGCUUGCAUUGAUUACGUCCCUGCCCUUUGUACACACCGCCCGUCGCACCUACCGAUUGAAUGGUCCGGUGAAAUCUCGGGACGGCGGCUUGGUCGCUUGCGUCCGACUGCUGAAACUUGAUUAAACCAUAUCAUUUAGAGGAGGGUGAAGUCGUAACA